GGUGGGAAAUGAUGAUGAUUAUAUCAUUUAAUCAGAGGCUCAGUUAUUAACUGUUCACUGCUGAACAAAAAUUUGCACGUCAGUCUGAUCCCCUC
rfam:Daucus carota subsp. sativus cultivar DH1 chromosome 5, whole genome shotgun sequence.